rnacentral:lncRNA from 1 species
GCGUUGCUGGGGCUGGAGAAGGCAAAGUGCAGAGGAAGGAGGAGCCACUGCUAGUGGGUACGAGGUUUCUUCUUGGUACAAGGACGUUCUGUCCUCCUGCAGCCAUCUAAAAUCAGCCAGAAAGGUUUAGGAUCCCAUUUCCUGUUCUUGCAUCGGCUGUCCAAGCUGCUGUUCCUCUCUCCGCAGUAAGAGGGUGUUUCUCUCCCUGUUCAAGAGGAGCACCAACACUUGAGGACAGUAUCAUCCCUAGACCUUGGCAAGAGAGACCACUGAGUGAGGCAUCCAUGGAACCCAAGGAAGAGGCCUACGAAGAACCUGCAGUCACCUUCUAGACCAUUCUCCCUCACCAAACUGUCCCCUCCAGAGAGCUGAGGACUGGAUCUUCCCAUGCUGACACCUCCAGUGGGAAAGAAAAUUCUAGAUUCAGCUCUGGGUGUCCAAGUCAUUAUGAAGGCAUAUUUGUCAAGGUGGAAGAAAAGGACAUAUUCUAUUUAGCAGUUUGUAAGUUUGAUCGAUAACUUUAAAAUAUUUGGACCUAUGGCAUGUCAGGAAUUGAAAGCAUCUUCUUUUUUAUAUUUGAUACAAAAUGUAUCCUGGUCUUGCUGUCUGCUGCUGGCCCCGUGCUAGUUUAGAGGACAACUUCUCUUCACUGAGGACAACACAGAAUCCUGGAGAUAUUUUUGAUGAGUAGUGAAGAAGUAAUGCAUGACUCUGAUUUGCGGCUGCAGGAUAAAUCCGAACUAUUUCAGGGAGAUGUCAUGGAGAGCUCAUCUCUCAGCAUCAAAGUUGCCUCUCCUGACUUUUGAAUUUUAAGUGUUCUGUGUGGAAGAAAAAUGGAGACAACAAAUUUCUAUGCAUGGAUUCAAAGAAUCCUCGUAAUAUACAGACUACAUUCUCCCCAGCUUUUUAUCUCUAUAUAUUCUUUUUGUUGAGUUUCAACCACAUAGGGUUGAAAUUCACCUUCCCACAUUACAUUUUUCAUCAAUAGUUGAAGACCUAUGUAUGUAAAUAUCAGGAACUAUCAGAACUCCCUGCAACAGGAAACCUGACCCCCAACUCCCCCGAAAUGCAUCAUGAUAAACAGUCACUUGCCAAAAUAACAAAUCAGCUUCCUGGAACAUGCUUGCUCAAAACCAGGAGAGGAGCUUAGAGACGUCAGCUUGACUUCUGCCUCGUACGCAGGAAGGGUGACCUUCAAAGAUCAAACAUCGUCCCAAAUCUCCCUUCAUCUUGUAGUACUCCUGCUUGUCGUAGCUCCUGUUACCAUCAGGUACUGGGCCAACCAUCCGUCAUGUCAGAAGAGAGUUGGGGACAAUCCCUGGAUUAUUUCACCUUUGCCCUGCUGGUAUAGACAAUGUGUGUUAUGGCUGGGUGACUUGCUGACUUUUACUCUGAGCAACAGCUUUGUCAGAGUAAAC